GGCUCAUUGGGGUAGUGGCUAACCUUUCCGACUGUCUCUCGGGAGAAACGGGUUCGAUUCCCGUAUGAGCCGCCA
rnacentral:tRNA from 1 species